rnacentral:rRNA from 1 species
UACGUAGGGCGCAAGCGUUGUCCGGAAUUAUUGGGCGUAAAGAGCUCGUAGGUGGUCUGUUACGUCUGCUGUGAAAACCUGGGGCUCAACCCCGGGCCUGCAGCCGAUACGGGCAAGCUAGAAUUCGGUAGGGGAGACUGGAAUUCCUGGUGUAGCGGUGAAAUGCGCAGAUAUCAGGAGGAACACCGGUGGCGAAGGCGGGUCUCUGGGCCGAUAUUGACGCUGAGGAGCGAAAGCGUGGGGAGCGAACAGG